GGCAAGUGUGAAUGUGUAGCCACUUUGAGAAGAAGCCACCUUAUUGGAUCUCCAUGACUGGCUUUGGACAUUGCAGCUGGGGCGUGGUGGUGUAGGUGAGAAUUGACCAUUGGGUCAGUAAGAAAAAAAAUCACCACCUGCAGCUUUCGCCACCAAUUCAUGGUUCAAAUCCAUAAAGUAAAUAAGAAUGAAAUCAAGUGCCUUAUUAGCAAGAAUCGCACUAAAGAUCUCCCAAUUACCAGAUGUAAAUGAAAACCAGAUGCUCUUGGAAAUAAAAUAUUCCAUCUUGAAUGCCUGCAAGGACAUAUGAUGCUUCCUGACCUGCUCGGUAUUUUCAGCGUUUUCCUUUAUUUCAGAAUUCCUGCAUCUGCAAGUUUUAUUUUUGCAUUUGAAAUAGAUUCUACGUAGCCAUAAAUAUCUCUUUUCUCAUUAUUUCUUGUAUCCAGUUAAUGGGCAUCUUCAUCUUCUUCAAGUGACUGAUCCGAUUAUAUGAUUUAGGAAUAUGGCCUCUACA